rnacentral:rRNA from 1 species
AAGCGAGCUACUGGACAAUUCCUGACGCUGAGGCUCGAAGGCUAGGGUAGCGAAAGGGAUUAGAUACCCCUGUAGUCCUAGCAGUAAACGGUGCACGCUUGGUGUGAGGGGAAUCGACCCCCCUUGUGCCGGAGCUAACGCGUUAAGCGUGCCGCCUGGGAAGUACGGUCGCAAGACUAAAACUCAAAGAAAUUGACGGGGACCCGCACAAGCGGUGGAGUAUGUGGCUUAAUUCGAUGCAACGCGAAGAACCUUACCAAGGCUUGACAUGCAUCUCUAAACACGUGAAAGCGUGUGACCCUUCGGGGAAUUUGCACAGGUGCUGCAUGGCCGUCGUCAGCUCGUGUCGUGAGAUGUUGGGUUAAGUCCCGCAACGAGCGCAACCCUUGUGAUUAGUUGCCAGCACGUUAAGGUGGGAACUCUAGUCAGACUGCCCGGAUCAACUGGGAGGAAGGUGGGGACGACGUCAGGUCAGUAUGGCCCUUACGCCUUGGGCUGCACACGUACUACAAUGCCCAGCACAAUGAGAACCGAUACCGCGAGGUGGAGGAAAUCUGUAAAACUGGGCUCAGUUCGGAUUGGAGGCUGCAACUCGCCUCCAUGAAGUUGGAAUCGCUAGUAAUGGGGCAUCAUCUACGGCCCCGUGAAUACGUUCCCGGGUCUUGUACACACCGCCCGUCACAUCAU